rnacentral:tRNA from 1 species
GGGAGUAGCUCAGUUGGUAGAGCGACAGCCUUCCAAGCUGUAAGUCGCGAGUUCGAAUCUCGUCUCCC